rnacentral:rRNA from 1 species
UCAGAUUGAACGCUGGCGGCAGGCCUAACACAUGCAAGUCGAACGGUAACAGGAAGCAGCUUGCUGCUUCGCUGACGAGUGGCGGACGGGUGAGUAAUGUCUGGGAAACUGCCUGAUGGAGGGGGAUAACUACUGGAAACGGUGGCUAAUACCGCAUAACGUCGCAAGACCAAAGAGGGGGACCUUCGGGCCUCUUGCCAUCAGAUGUGCCCAGAUGGGAUUAGCUAGUUGGUGAGGUAACGGCUCACCAAGGCGACGAUCCCUAGCUGGUCUGAGAGGAUGACCAGCCACACUGGAACUGAGACACGGUCCAGACUCCUACGGGAGGCAGCAGUGGGGAAUAUUGCACAAUGGGCGCAAGCCUGAUGCAGCCAUGCCGCGUGUAUGAAGAAGGCCUUCGGGUUGUAAAGUACUUUCAGCGGGGAGGAAGGUGUUGUGGUUAAUAACCGCAGCAAUUGACGUUACCCGCAGAAGAAGCACCGGCUAACU